GCCCGGCUAGCUCAAUCGGUAGAGCGUGUGACUCUUACUCGUCGAGAGACGUGCCAGUUCCUAUCACAAGGUUGGGGGUUCGACCCCCCCCGUUGGGCU